rnacentral:lncRNA from 1 species
AGUGACACCAAAAGUUGUUUAUUUGAAAAGAUUAACAAAAUUUACAAGCCAUUUUAAGUUAGAUUGGUCAAGGGAAAAAAGAGAAAGACUCAAACUACCUAAAACAGGAACAAAAGAAAUUAACAAAUGAAAAGGAUUAAGAGGGAAUACUAUGAAUAACUAUCUGCUAACAAAAUAGAUAAAUGAAAUGGACAAAUUCCCAGAAAUACACAAAAAAACUACUGAAACCCAUAUAAGAAGAAAUGAAAAGUAUGACUUGGCCUAUAAGUAAAGAGAUCAAAUUAGUAAUUUAAAACUUUCCACAAAGAAGAAAAGGGAACCCUUCUACACUGUUGAUAAGAGGGAAAAUUGGUGUAGUCACUAAGGAAAACAGUAUGGAAAUUCCUUAAAAAACUAAAAAUAGAGUUGCCAUAUGAUUCUGCAAUCCCACUCCUGGGCAUAAAUCCAGCCAAAACUAUAAUUCAAAAAGAUACAUUCACGCCUAUGUUCAUUGCAGCACUAUUCACAACAGUCAAGUCAUGGAGACAACCCAAAUGUCCAUCGACAGAUGAAUGGAUAAAGAAGUUGUGGUAGAUAGAUAGAUAGAUAGACAGACAGACAGACAGAUGAAUAUAGAUACAGAUAUGGAUACAGCCAUUAAAAAAGAAUGAAAUAAUGCCUAGAAAUUACCACACUAAGAGAAAUAAGUCAGAAAGAGAAAGACAAAUACCAAUAUGAUAUCAUGUUUAAGUGGAACCUAAAAUAUGACACAAAUGAACUUAUCUGUGAGUCUUAAACAGAAACAGACUCACAGAUAUAGAGAACAGACUUGUGAUUGCCAAGCAGGAGGGGAGUAGGAAGGGAAGGACUGGGAGUUUGGGAUUAGCAAGUACAUACUACUACUUGUAGAAUGGAUAAACAGAAGUUCCCACGUGGCUCAAUGCAGUGGCGUGGGUUGCUUCUGUGGCCCAAGUUCAAUCCCUGGGCUGGAAACUUCUUAUGCCACAAGAGCAACCAAAGGAAAAAAAAGAAAAGAAAGUAUAGCACAGAGAAUUAUAUUCAAUAUCCUGUGAUAAACCAUAAUGGAAAAUAAUAUACAUAUGUAUAACUGAAGCACUUUGCUGUACUGCAGAAAUUAACACAUUGUAAAGCAACUAUUAAAGCAACUAUACAUCAAUAAUUUAUUUUUUAUUUCCACAGAGAAAAGCCUUAGGUCCUGAUGGUUUCACUAGUGAAUUUUACCAAACAUUCAGAAAAGAACUAAUAUAAACUCUUUGAAAUUGUUCAGAAAACAGAAGAGGAGUAGACACUUCUCAAUCCAUCCUGAGGCUAGUAUUACCCUGAUACCAAAUUAGACAAAGAUAGUACAAGAAAAGAAACCAAAGAUCUAUAUUGCUUAUGAAUACAGAAGUAAAAAUUCUCAACAAAACUAGCAAACCAUGGAGUUCCCGUCGUGGUGCAUCUUGUAAUUCCACCUUUCUAUGUGGCUAUUUCCUCUGUCUGAAAUGUCUACUGGGUCCCCAGCCCUUCUACCCAUUCCAAGUUAGUUAAUUCCCACUCCUUACCUGUCCCUAGCUUGAUGCUUUCCAGCCUGGACUCCAGGAGAGCUGUGGAUAUCCCUCUAGAGCACUUCUUACACUGCCAGCUGCUUCUCUAAUAAGAUGUGGGGCUGCUGGUGGGUACAUAGUAUCUCACUCAUGUCCAGAGCCCCAGUGUCAAUCAGAGUGCCUAGCACAUAAUGGUUACAGUUGGCUGCUGGCUAGGUUUCAAGGAGGAGGGUAGGAGAUGAUAAGCCUAGGACUGGAUUGUGGAGGGCACUCAGCCUUUUUUAACAGCAAAUCCUUUCAGGCCUGGCUAGAAAAGAAGAGCUUCCCUCUUUCGCCCCAGGAGGAUGAUCAGGCUCUUACCAUCUGAGGCCCAGCAAGGCUAGGGUUCCAAGCUUGCACUCCAGGACCCAGAAUAAGCCUCUCUGCAUGAGCAUGUGUCCAUUCAUUGGUCUCUCUUUUUCUUCUCCUUUCCCAGGACACUCUUCCAACUCUCCUAACCCAGAGUUCUCAACAGCAGCCCUACUGACAUUUUGAACUAGAUUAUUCUUUGUUGUGAGCAUCAUCUUAGACAUUGUAGGCUGUUCACAACAUCUCUGGCUCUACCAGCUAUAUGCAGCAGCAACACAGCUCACCCUCCCAGUCACAACAUCCAAAAUGUCUCAACAGCAAUGUCCCCUGGAGAGUAAAACCCCUAGUUGAGAACUACUGCCUUAACCAAACCCAUCCAUCCAUCCAUCCACCCAUUCAUUCAUAGGCAACAUUUAUAAAGCUACCAUCUUAGCCUUCCUCAAGACUUUCAGAGACUUAUGUUAUCAACGUGUUUCUCAUUACUUUACUAGACAGUAUUUCAUUAGUUUUUUGGUAUUGUAACCCCCUUUAUAUACAAUACUUAAAAACUCACAGUUAAGCUUUUCAUAGCAUCUUUCCACAUCCAUCUUCUGGAUAAAAAUUUCCUGGAACACAUCAUCUUCAUUUACUGCAAUAAUUCUUAAAUAGAGUGGUUUACUGCAGAUUAUAUAGAAAGUGGUUUACUGCAGAUUAUACAGAAAGUUAACGUACAUUUAAAGAAAAUGACUAUAACAUGGAACACUUUGUUUCCUAAGAUGGUAUGUGCAAAUAGACACACACAACCCUCACCCCAAGAAAAAUAAGCAAUGGAGGAGGGGUUACACACAGACUCAGGAGAGAGUUUCCUAGGAUAUGAAUUCUGCUUGAAGGUUUAGGGAGUUAUUAAGAAUAAACCAGGAGUUCCUGCUGUGGUUUAGUGGGUUAAGGAUCUGGCAUUGCUGAGGCUGUGGCGUAGGUCACAGAUGCAGCUUGGAUUCAAUCCCCAGCCCAGGAACUUCCAUAUGCUGUGGGUGCAGCCAGAUAAAAAUAAAUAAAACAAAAGUUUUUAUGUCAAAAGCAACAUGAACAGGAGUUCCUGUCGUGGCUCAGUGGUUAACAAAUCCAACUAGGAACCAUGAGGUUGUGGGUUCAAUCCCUGGCCUUGCUCAGUGGGUUAAGGAUCCGGUGUUGCCGUGAGCUGUGGUGUAGGUCGCAGACGUGGCUUAGAUCUGGCAUUGGUGCGGCUCUGGCAUAGGCCGGAAGCUGUAGCUCCAAUUAGACCCCUAGCCUGGGAACCUCCAUAUGCCGUGGAUGCAGCCCUAGAAAAAGACCAAAAAAAAAAAAAAAAAAGCAGCAUGAAUAAUUUGGCGUGAAUUCUUUGCAUGAACUGUAAUAUAAGUCUUUGGCAAAAUUGUUUUGCAAUGAAUCACAUAUCAAGCCACAGUCCCAGGCAGACCUGUGCUUCAGCAGAAACAUCGAGAAACCCUAGAUUAGUGGAGUACAGCAUCUUCAUUGAAUUAAACCUGCCAAGAACUUCAAGAAAACAUAUGCUCCAAACUCCAGCUUGGAGGCAGAUGUGGUUAUUUUUAAACCCAUCUUUUGGAAGAGGUAACUGCCUUGCCUAGAACUGGUAAUCUGUUCGGCAGUUCUCAUCAUGGAAACAGUAAGGAGAACAAGUGGUCAGGAAAACUGUAAUUUCUAAAUUCCCUUUGGAGGGUCUUUCCAGGUCUGAGUCAGUCUGUAACCUGAAUUUAGUUAUGUUAGGACAAGAAUGUCAUGUAUACUUGCUUUCUCUUCUUGUGGUGUUUCCUGCCCUCCCUCGCUUACAUCAGUUUAGUUGUGUGAAAUUCCACAUCAUAGCUAAAGCAAGAGCGAAUUAACAGUUGUGAGGUGAAACAGAUUGAAUUCUUAGGUUUGCUUUGUUACUGUCUCUUCUCUUCCCACCAGCAGUAUUUUCUGACAAAACUCUCCUUGCUUUUCUCCUUCCCCAAGCCCCACUAUCGGCAUAGGGUUUUGUUUUUUGUUUUGUUUUAGCACUGCCACAAGUUACAGAUUCAGGGCAAAAUACUGAACUCUCUUGGUCUUUUCUUUAGAGUACUGAAGUAAAUCUCAAAACCAUUCACACACCAAAUUUCCAUACAUCUGUAUAGUGUAGAAUUUUACUGACAGAAUCACUAUAACUAAUCACUGAUAACUAUCCUAUUAUUUAAAUAUAUGUUUUAAUACUUUAAAAAUCGUGUCUCACCUCUAGAUCCAAUGGGUUAUUAAAAGAUGAAAUGCAGCAGCAAUUUCUAAUAUUAAAAAAAAAAUAUUUAGGGAAAAAUGUCAUCAGCCCACUUCCUUGUAAACAGACCCGCUCUUAGCAACAAGAGUAGCAAUAAACAAAGGAGCAAUAAUUGUUUUUUUCUCUAGUUAGUGUUGCUAGUACACAAAGUAAAUCAGCAUAGCCUGUGGCCCCAGGGAGUACAGGUAGCAACCUACCAGCCAGGUUCUCUAAUGCUUUACUAAGCCAAGUGAUCCAAUGCUGUCUUCACCCAUUCCAGAUAAUUCCCAGAUAGCUAAGUACUUGGUCUGAGAAGCUUAUAAUCACAAAGCCAUAAACUUGAACUAAACAGUUAUGACCCUAAAUAGGAAGGAGGUUGGGUAGAGGGAGUAAAGUCCAAAAUUAGAGGAAAGGAAGAUGUACCAUAACAAAAUGAUUAGAGUGGCUAUCAAGUGAGAAAUAGGAUCUAAAGAUAGCAGUGUAACCCAACUUACACCAAAGUGCUUCCUGAGACUUUAUCAAUGUUCUCAUUCCUCCCUCAUCCUCCCUGGCCUCACACAACCUUCUCCCCAAUCACAGUGGAGGCUCAUUAAGAAAUGAGGCCAAUUUUACAUUGGACUUUUUCAGUUAUGUGAAAGUAAAUGCUUUACUUUUGGGAGGCUUAAGUUCAAACACGGGUUACCCUAGUGAUUUAAAAAUUAAUUAUAUUAUGGUUACUAUAAUAAAACUAGAAGUAUGUGUUUCCCCUACUCAGAACGGUUAAGAAUUUUUAAAAAGUGUUCUAUGUGAAAAUCGACAUUAGGUGUCACUGUACAACAUAAGAUUAACGCAGGCAUGUCAUCUGCUUUGUGCUGAGAAAAAUCUAACAAUCCAAAUCAAUCAUUUUAUAUUCAAAGAUUUAAGUUGUUUUUAGAAUAUCCAUGCAAAAAGUUUUAAAAUUACCCAACAAAAGAUAUGUUGUACUGAUAAAACCAAUUAAUUAGGACAAUUAAGUCCUCAAUUUGUUUUCUUAGAAACACAAUCUCCUCUCAUUGGUUUCUUCUUUUGGGUUCUCAUUUUACUGACUUUCCUGUUCUUAUUAAGUCAUUCCAUAAAUGUGAAGUAAAUGUUCAAGAUUUUCUUGUGUUCCAUGAGCUACAUUUCCUUCCAGGUUGUCUUGAGUCUUUUACACUCUGACCUGUGUGUGACACAGGGCUCUUCGUAGUGUACCACAAAAUGGCAGCAUCUGCAUUAUCUGAAAGCUUGACUAAAGUGCAAAUUACUGAGGCCCCUCUUAGACCAACUGAAUCAAAACCUCUAGGGAAUCCAGGAAUUUGUCCCAAUGAUUCUUAGGCAUAUUUACAUUUUAAAAUCACUGCUCUUACACAUUUUGCCUAGUUAUCACAUUGUUUCUUUUUAUUUAACUCAUGUUUACCUUACAUAGGCAACAGAAGACAUUCUACAAGUCUUGAUAGAGGAUGGGUGAUGUAACCCUCUUCCCACCAUAUCUUCAACCAAUUUCCAUUUUUCUUCAAGACAGAGUCCAGAUCUGGGUGUUACUUCUUGCUAGUCUAAAGCCUAGGGAAAAGGCACUAAGGACUGUAAAGAAAAUGGCUUAGCUAGACUUAAAAAAACAAAACAAAACUGAACUAUGCUUUCCCUUCUGAUUGUUAAACUGUCUAUAUUGGUUAAGAGAGAGGCUCUUUAUUUCUCUUCAGAUUUUGGGAUGUUAGUAUGACUUUUUCAGGGAUUCUGGAGGUUGUGCGUAAAGAAGGUCAAUAAUAUAAACUGGCUCCUCUUUGCUCUGCCCCAGCACAGAACACAUCACAGAGCUAUUAAUAGUUCAGCAACACUGAGGCACAACAACUGGACCACAAGGCUCAAGAAGCAGUUUAAGGUCCACGAGUAGUGUAGUAAGACUUGAGUGCUAGCUGGGAGGAAGCAGGGGUGGAGUGAGAUGGGUGAAUAUUAGCACUGGUUGAAUUAAGAAGCCAUUAAAAAUCAUUACUUGACAAUUUUUACAACAUAAAAUUUUCUAAAUACAAACUAUCAUAUAAAGU